GUUUCUCGUAGGGAAGUCCUGGAUCACCUGUCAUGUUGGCUCCUAAGGAACUGCUGUUGUAAGCGGCUCACCAAGAGUUGAAGUUCAUGUAGCCUUGUUGGGAAUAUGGAAAAGGAAGAAAGCCACAGGACUGCCAAUUCAGUCGGGAAGAUCUGGAUGAUUCUGCACAUGCACAAAUGACUUGAAGUUUCUGUAUAGACACUUGUACCAAUCCAUCUUCAGCUGACUGAAUGUUGUAUGAUAGCCCUUCUCCAAAGCAGAGGUGGAAGGUUCUGGUUUCACCACACAUUUAUAAACACAUUUCCUUUUUUGAAUUGGCCUAUAGAUUGUAGGUCUCUUUUGUAUAUAACCUCUAUUCUUUUGCUUUAAAAAAAAAAGUCUGUUCAUAUUUAAUGCCCU
rnacentral:lncRNA from 1 species